GCGAGUAUGGCCCUCACGGGUCUAAUCCACCAUAAACACCUUUGUGAACCAGUCAGGGGGGACUCGGCCGUGAAAGCCCAGGCGAUUAGCGGAAGGGCCCUCCUUUGCAAACCCGUUUAGAAGUCUUGAAAGUACUUUUGUAUAAUCUAGUA
rnacentral:misc_RNA from 1 species